CACAGGUGAUGAACUUAUUGAGGGAUGGACAGAGGCUGUGUGCUGAUUGUCAUGUUCUAAUUUG